GCAUUUCAUAUGUUCAAAAGACCAAAAUAUGCGCAAAUGAAGCAUAAUUCAAGAACUAAGGUCUCAGACAUUGCAACAUUCUCACACAUAGCUUAGGUCUCACAAAUAAAUCUCACACAUAGCUUUGGGCACAGUACAGAAUAGAAGGUUCACACAUGGAGGUCACACAUCAUCCUCAAAUCCGAGCAGCCUACAGAAUUUUGCGUACUUCUUCUUGCCCCAUGUCCCUAAGGCAUUGCUUCCUCAAGCUACACCACUACCAGAAGAGACACUAUUGAGCUUAUCAGACCGUGAGGUAUCAACAGCUGCAUGGUUGAGAAAAUUGUUAAACUAUAAAGUAAUAAUAACUGUCAAAUAGCAUGUAGAUUGACUGAAAUUGGAAGUAUAAAGUUGAAACACCAAAUGUGAAGAACAAAGUACACUGAAGCACAUGCAACGACAACAAUGCAUACAAUGAAAGAGGUCUGUCAUGAACUUGCCUCGAUACUGAAGGUUGUCUGAAAAAGCACCCUUCACACACAAAGUUGUCAAACCUGUAUAUUAACCCACACUCAGAAUAUUGUACAAGAUAGCACAUGGAUAUAUAUUUUAAACUCAAUGUAUCUCCUCUCACCGGUUAACAUUGUCCCAGAGCCAUUUUAUCUAGACUGCAAUUAACAAAUUACUUUGCACUACGAAAGCCAUAGCUAACUGUCUAUACAUAUAAUACAGAUACCUAUUAACCAUUCUUGUCAGCAGCAAUUAGUUACAAGAUUCAGUUUUAAUUUAACACCUUCUCUGCUAGUAGGCUACUAUUUAUCACCUUCUCUGCUAGUAGGCUAGCAGCACAGAGCACCGAACCGAUUGACUCUACAAAGUAAAACUAUGUGUCCCUGUAGUCGUUUAUUUCAUCUCUGUACCAUAAGAAACUUGAUUCCAAUGAACAAGGUAAACAGUAGGCAUGCAACAAGCCAUCAGUUAGCUAGCCAUUGUCUCACGAGUUGAUUAGUUCUUGUCCGGAUGCAAUCUGCCCAAUCCCAACUCAUGGAGCACUAGUAUUCCUGCUAGUCUAAUUGAAACACCCAUUAAAAUUAGCCCCGGCACUUGCAAUCCAGCGAACCAUAAUACAACGAGAAGCUAGCUAGAAGGUUCACCUACUUGCUCAUCCUCAAAUCAGUUUGCAGGGCUGGUAACCACUAAUACCAUCAUGCAACACAGAUCCAAUUAACUUUGGAUUAUAUUACUGUUGUUAAUCCCCAGAACCAAUGCGUCGCUAGUAAGAUUAGAGGAACACGUACCAGAAGAAGACCAAACUAGAGCUUCAAAGCUUUAGGGCCGCUGUAGGAGCAGGUCUCCAUUGACUUCGGCGGAGCGGCUGCGGUUUCGAUGAUGGUGCGGCCUGGGAGAGUCGCCGCGGCGCUCGAUCUGAGGAACGGCUCGGGAGGCGCGUAGGGAAGGCGGCCCUCGACUCCAGUUCGCAAGAUGACGUCGUCGCCCCAUGUCCUCGCGCCGUCUACGCACUCGUGAGAUGGGAUCGGCGAUAUGUGACAGUUACGUGGGAUUAACCGAGCGAAGCACAAUGUUUCCAAGAAAAAGCCACGGACCAUAAUACCCUUCUUGAUUAAAUUAAAUAUUUUAAUUAACAUGUUAAAAUCAACGGUGGGAAAUAGUCAAGGGAGGAGCUACAGGAAAUUACAUUUCAUAACUCUCACCGUAAAAGAGCUCAUAAGUGG
rnacentral:lncRNA from 1 species